ACUACAGGCACACACCCAAGGACAGCGUUGAGUGUGAAAGCUUGAAACACGAUUCUGUCACAAGGAAGCCUGAUGGCAUGCUGAACACCAGAUAGAUGACAGGGCAGAGAAGCCCACAGACCAGAGUGUCAGCCAUGAGUGAGCAAGAAGGCAGACACUUCCCAGGCACCUAAGUUAUACACAGGAGAGGGUAAGAAGAGUUAAAGAGAAAACCGAGAACAGGAUCUAUCUAUAAGGAGUGGCAGAAAGAGCAGGAAGGAGAACAGUGCUAAAGACGUACCCUUGGGACAGAUUGCCUGAGGCUAUUUUGACAAGAAAUAGAGACUCAGUUGACUGACUCCACCUUUCCAGAAAAAGGAGCCAAAGGAGCACUGGGUGGUACACGCUACCUUCUCAUCUCAUUGGUGGAUCUUACUCAAAUGCUUUGAUCUUCGAGACUUCGGGUCAAGUAAUAGAUGAGAAAAAUAAAAAGGGAAAUAAUUGGCACAUAUGUUCAAAAUUCCAUAUUUAAAUUGUUCAUAAUUUGAUUAUUUUUACUGUUUCUACUAGUCUUCAGAAGAGUAGCUAAAUGCAAAUGCAAGUGUUUAAAGGCAUUGCAAAAUGUACAGAAAAAUCUGAGUAAAAUUCCAAGAAUAUAUAUGUAUAUGCAACAUCUAAAUUACAAUUUAAGGGCCUUUCCAAGAACAUUUGCUUAAUAAACAGGAACAGAAGUGAAAAUUUUUGCAAUGCUAAUCAUUACACUACUUUCUCUUUCCAAAGCUUACAGGAUGCUAGGAUAUGUUACAGGUGUUCAUUUGGAAAAGAAAUAGUCUUUAACAUCUAUUUCAUGAGAAGAAUGAAAGGUUAAAGAAAACCAAAGUGUAUGAUUCAGAAAAGGGUGUUCCCAAAUAUUGUAAAUAAUAAUGACUAUUUGUGUAGUGAUGCAAAGAAAACAUAGAUCUUUAAAAGAAACAAAGAUCUUCACAACCUUAGUCCAGGAAAUGGGUUGGGAUUAUUGCAUGCAUCAUUUAAAAAAUAAAAUAUGGACAGGCACGGUUUUGACCAAGAUUGCUUAAACUACUCUUUCAUUAAGAAAGAGGGUAUUAUAAUAGAAGUCCUUAUUCCUAAAGUAUUUACACUAAUAGACUAGAAAAUUUUCAAGUGAUAUCCUGGCAGAACUGGCCUUGGGUCAGUUUCACAGAAUGUAGAGGUCAGGCAGGAAUUCAGGAAUGCAGAGAGAUUACAUUUCUUCCACCUUUGGACGAUAGGUACAGCCUUCAGUUCCUUCAGUUUCUGUCCUGAAUCCCUUUAUUUUUUUAAUAUAGAGGCAGAUUUCUGUCAGUUCCACAGUAACUAGCUCAGAAAGUUAGAAAACAAUCACCAGUGGUUCAGGAUGAGUAAUAAAAAAACUCAUCCUGAACUCAGCUGAAAAAUGCUGGACGUUGCCAAGAAAAGUGAAUGAAAGUCUCUCCUUGAUCAAAACAUUUAUCACAGAUCUGUGCCUAUUUGUUGUUGCAAUUCUUUCAUGCUGAACCCAUAGAUGUGCCCAAUAAAUUCUGACCCUUUGUAAUAUGAGUCAUGAAAAAAAUCAAAAGGUGGACAUAAUGUUGUGGUUUGGCAACUAUGCUCUCCGUCCCUAAAAUCUUGUGUAGGUAGAUGGUUGGAAAGCAUUGGUUUCUUUACUCUGAUUGUUUGGGAAGCAUGUGCCUAGCAGCUGAAUUACUUAUGUGAGCCCACACUUCGAAUCAGUUGUCACUCAAGAACAGAACUCUGGGAUCCUGGCUGCAGUGUAACAGGGUUGCACAAGGCUUGUAUAAAAUUCAACUCUGUGGAGCAAAUGUAUUGUAAAUACAAGCAAAUCAUUACUUAAAUCUUGUCAAUGUUGUUUUCCCUUCAAAGGCAGUAGACUAUGCCAAGCUUUAUUAAAAAUGAGAGCUGAAAUAAAGAGAUUAUUUAGGCAGAUAACCCAUUUGCCAUAGCCAAGCUGAAGCACUAUCAUUUACAGCAUAACUGGAAGUAUCUUUAACUUCUGUGGUCAGUUUUUAAGAAUAUUUUAUAAACUUACAGGUAUUUUAUUUGGGGGAAUCAGGAAAUGUGGGCUAAGCUUUACCUUAAUAUUUGGGAUGAAGACAAAAUUGGUUCAAGCUCUCUAGAAGAUGCUGUGUUUCUUAUUGUUUGAAACUUUGAAAUAUGAAUGGCACUUUAAAUUGAGUGGGGGUAUGCCUUCUUUGGUGCCAUUAAAGUAGCUUAAACUGAUACUGAAUAAAAAACUAGCCCAUUUAUUUAUUUUUAAUUUUUUUCUUAUAUGUUCCUUUUUCUUCCCCCUCUCCAUCCCAUUCUUCUUCUUUCCCUCCUUCCUUUUUUCUUCUUUCCCUCCUUCCCUUCCUUCCUUUUCUCCAUCUUUUCCUCCUUGCUUUUCUCCUACCCUCCCUCCUCCUUGUUUUCCCUUUCCCCAUUUCUUCAUGUUCUCUCCUUCUUUCUUUCUCUCUCUCUCAUUCUCUCCUGAUGCUGUCAUUAUUAAAUAUUGGUGAAGUAGAAAGAGAACAGAAUUUUUGUCAUGUCAAUGUGAUCCCUAGCAAUGAUUAAGUUGUAUUCUGGAUUCCACUCACCUCUGCUUUCCAUCCUUGGAGCAUGUGGGAAGGGUUGCAACUCAGGAAACAGAACUGGUUAAUUUUACCAGGCAGGUGAGUUUGUAGGGUUUUAAGAAACAAGACAGACUUAUUUGAUUUUGUACUUUUUAUAUUAUUGAUUUUGAUUUCUAAAGGAAAAACAAUUAAUUUAUUUACUUGAUUUUAAUUAUAUAAUAAUUCUUUUACAAAAUAAUAACAAUAUUAUUAUUAAUAAUACAAUUCUGACUGUAGCUUAAGUUUUCAUGUUUUAUUUUGUUUUUAUUUUGAGUUCUUUUUUGUCCUUGCAUUGUAUGCCACUGAGAAGGCACAGUGAAAUUACUCUGUUGUAUAAGUUAUUUGAAAUAACUCUUUUGUGCGAUUAAGCCACCAUUGUAAUCUACACUUAGGUUCAUUUAUUCCAUUUUUGUUUUAGUUUUUAGGUACUGAUUUGCAAAAUUAUGUAUAAUUAUAUAAAACAUUUGCAUAGUUCCAAAACUACAUCUACAAAGUAUAGUGUAGACAAAGAAGCUUAGCUUAACUUUUUGACCUUUCCCUUUUCUCUCUUUCCAAUUACUGGUAGCUUUUAAAAUAGACAUUGGCUUAAUUUUUUAUUUUUGGUCAUUUGUUAAUUUAUAAAAAAACUGCCAGAAAACAAAAUUACUUAAAAAUAACAAUAAUCAGGUCUUCCGCCAAGAUGGAGGUGUAGGUGGAACCACCUUGCUUCCGUGCACAACCAAAUCUAAGAACAACUAUUUUUAACAAUAAUAAACACAACCAAGCCACACAGAAAAUCGACAAUAUGGAGUCCAAAGACAACGAAAUGCUCAGCUAAACCGGUAAGAGGAGCGAAGCCAGCAGUGGAGCAGGUUGGCAAAAAAAAUCCCCCAACGGGUGGUGCGCAAGCAGCCGAAGGCGCGGAUCGCGGUAUAGCUAUGGGAGCACACAGGGAAGAGGCGCGGCUGGCUGUCUGCGGUAGGUCGCACAUCUGCAUGCGGAUAAACCAGUGAAGAGGCGAGCAGGGUCGGGGCAGCAGGCUCGCACAAUUCCGAUCCGAUAAACAGGCCGGGGCGAGUGGUGGGACUGGACAGACUGGGCUAGCGGAGAGGACCACCAUUGCUCCCUCUCUGACCACGCCCCCACACACAGUGUCACAAACCAGCGACCUGGGUCGCCCCGUCCUGGUAAACAACUAAGGCUUCGCUCCGCUUACUUAACGGUGCGAACAGACCAAAAAUGGCUCAAGAACAACUCAGAGCCCCAGAGCCCAUCAAUCUAAGCCAUGAAGAAAUAGCCAAACUUUCAGAUGCACAGUUCAAAACACUGGUUAUCAGGAUCCUCACAGAACUGGUUGAUUUUAGUCACAAAUUAGAGAAACAUAUGGAAGCUAAACUAAUUGAAAUGAAUGGUAAUGCAAAGGAAACCAAUAAUAAUGGAAAGGAGAUUAGGACUCAAAUCAAUGGAGUGGACCAGAAGGAAGAAAAAAAUGAUUGAACAGAAAAGAAUGAAGAAACAAGAAUUCAAAAAAAUGAAUGAGGAGAAGCUUAGGAACCUUCAGGACAUCUUUAAACGUUCCAACAUUCGAAUUAUAGGGGUACCAGAAGGGGAAGAGGAACAGCCACCAGUGGAAAACUUAUUUGAACAAAUAAUAAAAGAGAACUUCCCCAUUCUGGCAGAGGAAAUAGACUUCCAGGAAAUCCAGGAAGCUCAGAGAGUCCUAAAGAAGUUGGACCCAAGAAGAAACACACCAAGACACAUCAUCAUUACAUUAGCCAAGAUUAAAAUGAAGGAGAGAAUCCUAGAAGCAGCAAGAGCUAAGGGGACAGUCACCUACAAAGGAGUUCCCAUCAGACUGUCAGCUGAUUUCUCAAAAGAGACCUUACAGGCAAGAAGGAGCUGGAAAGAAGUAUUCCAAGUCAUGAAAACCAAAGACCUACAACCAAGAUUGCUCUAUCCAGCAAAGUUUUCAUUUAGAAUGGAAGGACAGAUAAAGUGCUUCUCAGAUAAGACCAAAUUCAAGGAGUUCAUCAUCACUAAGCCCUUAUUAUAUGAAAUGUUAAAGGGACUUACCUAAGAAAAAGAAGAUAAAAAAGAUGAACAGUGAAAGGACAGCAAACUCACAGUUAGUAACAACCACACCUAAAACAAGAGCAAACUAACAGGACAGCUAGAUCAGGAGCAGAACUAUAGAAAUGAAGAUCUCAUGGAGGGUUAGCAACAGGGGAGUGGGAGGAGGAGAAGGGGGGAGAAGGUACAGAAAAUAAGUAGCAUAGACAGUAGAUAGAAAAUAGAUAGGGGGAGGGUAAGAAUAGUAGGGGAAAUACAGAAUCUAA